CCUACGGGGGGCAGCAGUGAGGAAUAUUGGUCAAUGGCCGGAAGGCUGAACCAGCCAUGCCGCGUGAAGGUCAGUGCCCUAUGGGCGUUAAACUUCUUUUGUGCGGGAGCAAUAAUGGUCACGUGUGGCCAGACGAGAGUACCGUACGAAUAAGCAUCGGCGAACUCCGUGCCAGCAGCCGCGGUAAUACGGGGGAUGCAAGCGUUAUCCGGAUUUAUUGGGUUUAAAGGGUGCGUAGGCUGGGAGGUAAGUCAGCGGUGAAAUGCCCCCGCUCGACGGGGUGAAGUGCCAUUGAUACUGCCUUGCUGGAAUGCGGAUGCCGUGGGAGGAAUGUGUGGUGUAGCGGUGAAAUGCAUAGAUAUCACACAGAACACCGAUUGCGAAGGCAGCUCACGAAUCCGCGAUUGACGCUGAUGCACGAAAGCGUGGGUAUCAAACAGGAUUAGAUACCCCUGUAGUC
rnacentral:rRNA from 1 species